UACGGCCGAUGGGUUAGACAUGUUUUUCUCAUGGAUUUCUUGUACUGCUGUGGUGUUAGUUUUUAUUUGAGAGAGAUGAUGGAGUGAGCUGCAUUUGGAAUAAUGGAUUUUUUUGGAGAUAACUUUAUUUUUAUGUGCAACUCUUCUUCACUCCUUGAAUUGAUCCGCCUGCGGCUCUAGAGUUCAUUCUGCCGUUCCUGAGCUCUUUCACCAUCUACGAAGACCAAGUGGGUUUACUUUUCCAUUUCGAGUGAUCCGGGACUGGAUUUCUUUGGGGCAACUUCUCUUUUCUCCGCAAAACUUCUUGGCUGCUCCUUGACUUGAUAUCUGGAUACUACGACUACAUCUCGUAGUGAAGAAAUUAAUCUGCGGCCAAUGUAUUAGAAGCACACACAGUCAUGGUUUUCUUUUGCUGCGGGUAGUUAUUAGUUUUCCUGUGGAGCUUCAAAAUGGCUGCUAAACCACCUCAAUGUACUCUGCUCGUAAAUGAUCUUGAUGACGCCGUCAAGCAACUGAUUGAUCUUCUGCAUCAUGAUGAUGGUACCAAAGAAGGAAAAAUAAAAGCAUUCAUGUUUCGUGGCUGGUGUGGCGACGGUCUGGGAGCAUCUGCCGUUCUUAGAGCUACAGCAGAACACCUCAAGUCCAAAAUAAGUGAUCCAGACACAAAGCUGAAAUUUGGUAAAAUUCUCCAUGUCGACUGCUCUAUGUGGAAAAAUAGAAGGACGGUGCAGCGUCGAAUAGCGGCAGAAUUGAACCUUGGGCAUUUAAUGCCUAUUUUUGAUAAGCAAGACGAGGACGAUGAUUUCAGAGGAGUAGAUGACAGUUCUAGAGCAGAGAUAACAAGCAUAGCAAGUGAGAUCCAUGAAUCUCUAAUCAAUGACAAAUUUCUAUUAGUUCUUCAUUAUGGGGGAGAUGCAGAUGUUGAUUUGGCAGAGUCAGGCGUUC